rnacentral:rRNA from 1 species
UUUAAUGGAGAGUUUGAUCCUGGCUCAGGACGAACGCUGGCGGCGUGCCUAAUACAUGCAAGUCGAGCGAGGGUCUUCGGACCCUAGCGGCGGACGGGUGAGUAACACGUAGGCAACCUGCCUGUAAGACUGGGAUAACAUAGGGAAACUUAU